rnacentral:rRNA from 1 species
UGAAAGCCCUGGGCUCAACCUGGGAAUUGCAGUGGAUACUGGAUCACUAGAGUGUGGUAGAGGGUAGCGGAAUUCCCGGUGUAGCAGUGAAAUGCGUAGAGAUCAGGAAUAAAACUUAUAGAACAAGUGGAUAUAUGAGAAGAAUUUAUAGUUGUGCAAUUGAAGGGAGGAGAGAGAAAUGAGUUAAGUAGGUAAGGAUCUUAAUNNNUUCCUCCCCCCCGGUAGGUCAUGUCGGGCGUCAGCCCUUCUUUCCCCAUCAUUGCUCGAGAACGCAGCAAUUAGGUGCGGCAUCUGCUCCGGGCGUGAAUACACAGUGUAACUCGUGGAGACCCGGUACCGGUACCGCCGUCACGUGAUUGACGUGAGCACUUGUAGGGCUCUCCUUGUGUGAUGCGCCGUAUGUAACUGAGAGCGGUAUUUGUGACAUAUCUUUCGGACGGUGACCANAGAGCCGUUCGAGACAUAUUCAUCACCCGUAUUGUCCGGGACAAGAGGGAGGAGACACGUGCACCUAGGCGCUGACAACGCAGAUUGUAUGCCGUAGACUGAACUCCAANAUCCCUUAUCUAGGCGAGGAGGUACGCUGUCACCNAGGUUGGCUAUCACUGACAUGUGGUGCGACGUGGUGUGCGUGGAUCUCGCGCACUUAUGAGACCGCGAUGUUAGUACUCUUGGUGUAGAUCAUAGAUGGCCCAGCGGCUCAUCGCACGCGCAGUUGUCAUAAUCGCAGUUGCUGCUACGACUAUCUCUUUUACAGAACGAGAGCAUGNUAUGAACACGUGGCCAUGUNUACGANGAACCAUGGUCUCUUACCGUUCUGGAGGAGUCCGCUUAGCUUAGGAACAUAGCGUAUAACAGGAAAAAGGCACCCAUGCCUAUUCUCUGAAGGGACUUAACUGAAGUGUCGAAUUACUAUCGUGUAAUACAGUAUCGUAACGUAUCAUUUGUGGACUUGGUCGGAGAAUCUUGGACUAAUGGGGAAUUCGGGUGCAUUUUGCGGGUAGCCCCGGAAUUUGGUAUUGUAUACCGGCGGCAUAUCGGGGGAGGGAUACAGUUUAGUAGGAUAUUCACUAGCCCAGUUUGCAGCCAGAGAUAGAGGACCGAUAUUUAGAGUUAUACCGCAUGGAAAGUUUGUCAGACCGUCUGUGGGUUCACUAGCGCGAACUUAAGAAUUUAUAUGGCUCAGCGUUGAGGCUGGGACAUGUUCUUUUAUAACUUGUGACGUAGCGAGCGUUUGAGAUAUCUAUCUAAACGUGUCGUUGAGGCUAAGGCGGGGACUUCGAGUCCCUAAAUAAUUGAGUCGUAUGUUC